rnacentral:rRNA from 1 species
AUUGAACGCUGGCGGCAGGCCUAACACAUGCAAGUCGAACGCGUGGCGGACGGGAGAAUAAUGUCUGGAAAACUGCCUGAUGGAGGGGGAUAACUCCUGGAACCGGUACCUAAUCCUGCAUACCAUCGGAUUUGAGCAGAUGGGAUUAGCUAGUAGGUGGGGUAAAGGCUCACCUAGGCGACGAUCCCUAGCUGGUCUGCGAGGAUGACCAGCCACACUGGAACUGAGACACGGUCCAGACUCCUACGGGAGGCAGCAGUGGGGAAUAUUGCACAAUGGGCGCAAGCCUGAUGCAGCAAUGCCGCGUGUAUGAAGAAGGCCUUCGGGUUGUAAAGUACUUUCAUCGGGGAGGCGUUACCCAAAGAAGAAGCACCGGCUAACUCCGUGCCAGCCGCCGCGGUAAUUC